GGAAGUUUGUGGCUCAGUGUUGAAGCAUCUGCUUGGCAUGCAGAAGGUCCCAGGUUCAAUCUCCAGCAUUUCUU